CUUCCAGUAGCACCUUAGAGACCAAGUAAGUUUGUUAUUGGUAUGAGCUUUCUGAAGCGUGCAUGCGCACGAAAGCUCAUACCAAUAACAAACUUACUUGGUCUCUAAGGUGCUACUGGAAG